GAAAACAAAAACAGUAAUCCAAGAGGAUUUCUGAAGAACACAAAGCAAUGAAGAGGGUCCCUUCCUUCAAUCACUUUACUAAACUCCACCCACUCUGCAUAAUUGAUGUGUUUGUGUUGUAGAAUGUAUAGCAUACCCACUUUGAUUCAUUAGUUUCUGCACCCACCUAAUAUUUUGACUAGAUGUUUAACCUCUCUGAGCUUGUGGCCCUCAGGAACUCCAAAUGUGCCUUCAAUUUAUCCACAGCAGCUCCUAAUUUAAGAUAUGAGAUCGAUCACAAGCUCCAACUCCUUGGACUAAUGCAAAUCCAAUUCAAGUGAAAUCUUCCUUCUUUUUACCUAAAAAGAAGUGUUCUAUGGACGCACGGUUGGUGCGGUGUCUUUUUCACAAUCACACCUGUCUUGGGAAAUUUCUC